UAUUAUGGACAAAAGGAUAUUGUUCGUC
rnacentral:sRNA from 1 species